GAGUUUGAUCCUGGCUCAGAUUGAACGCUGGCGGCAGGCCUAACACAUGCAAGUCGAACGGUAACAGAAAGCAGCUUGCUGCUUUGCUGACGAGUGGCGGACGGGUGAGUAAUGUCUGGGAAACUGCCUGAUGGAGGGGGAUAACUACUGGAAACGGUAGCUAAUACCGCAUAACGUCGCAAGACCAAAGAGGGGGACCUUCGGGCCUCUUGCCAUCGGAUGUGCCCAGAUGGGAUUAGCUUGUUGGUGAGGUAACGGCUCACCAAGGCGACGAUCUCUAGCUGGUCUGAGAGGAUGACCAGCCACACUGGAACUGAGACACGGUCCAGACUCCUACGGGAGGCAGCAGUGGGGAAUAUUGCACAAUGGGCGCAAGCCUGAUGCAGCCAUGCCGCGUGUAUGAAGAAGGCCUUCGGGUUGUAAAGUACUUUCAGCGGGGAGGAAGGGAGUAAAGUUAAUACCUUUGCUCAUUGACG
rnacentral:rRNA from 1 species